rnacentral:piRNA from 1 species
UAAAAGAAUGUUUGGGUGCUUACAGU